CCCCUCUCAGGAUUGCACCUGGAGAGUUUCCAAUACUCUACCAGACUUGGCUAGAGGAGGGAGGAGGAAGAGUCAAGCAGAGGCCUUCCCGUUCCAUUCCUAGCUGGGGCAGUGGUUAGCGAGUGGAAGGCAAUCUGCGACAAGU
rnacentral:snoRNA from 1 species